rnacentral:rRNA from 1 species
GAUGAACGCUAGCUACAGGCUUAACACAUGCAAGUCGAGGGGCAGCAUGGAAGAAGCUUGCUUCUUCUGAUGGCGACCGGCGCACGGGUGCGUAACGCGUAUCAAACCUGCCUCAUACUCGGGGAUAGCCUUGCGAAAGUAAGAUUAAUACCCGAUGUUGUUAUGUUUCCGCAUGGUGAUAUAACCAAAGAUUUAUCGGUAUGAGAUGGUGAUGCGUCCGAUUAGGUAGUAGGCGGGGUAACGGCCCACCUAGCCAUCGAUCGGUAGGGGUUCUGAGAGGAAGGUCCCCCACACUGGAACUGAGACACGGUCCAGACUCCUACGGGAGGCAGCAGUGAGGAAUAUUGGUCAAUGGACGGAAGUCUGAACCAGCCAAGUAGCGUGCAGGAUGACGGCCCUCCGGGUUGUAAACUGCUUUUAGUUGGGAAUAAAAAGAGGGACGUGUCCCUAAUUGUAUGUACCUUCAGAAAAAGGACCGGCUAAUUCCGUGCCAGCAGCCGCGGUAAUACGGAAGGUCCAGGCGUUAUCCGGAUUUAUUGGGUUUAAAGGGAGCGUAGGCGGAUUAUUAAGUCAGUGGUGAAAGACGGUGGCUCAACCAUCGUUAGCCAUUGAAACUGGUAGUCUUGAGUGCAGACAGGGAUGCUGGAACUCGUGGUGUAGCGGUGAAAUGUUUUACAUAUCACGAUGAACUCCGAUCGCGAAAGCAGGUGUCCGGGCUGUACUGAUGCUGAGGCUCGAAAGUGUGGGU